rnacentral:rRNA from 1 species
UUAAGCGACUAAGCGUACACGGUGGAUGCCCUGGCAGUCAGAGGCGAUGAAGGACGUGCUAAUCUGCGAAAAGCGUCGGUAAGGUGAUAUGAACCGUUAUAACCGGCGAUGUCCGAAUGGGGAAACCCAGUGUGAUUCGUCACACUAUCGUUAACUGAAUACAUAGGUUAACGAGGCGAACCGGGGGAACUGAAACAUCUAAGUACCCCGAGGAAAAGAAAUCAACCGAGAUUCCCCCAGUAGCGGCGAGCGAACGGGGAGCAGCCCAGAGUCUGAAUCAGCUUGUGUGUUAGUGGAACGGUCUGGAAAGUCCGACGGUACAGGGUGAUAGUCCCGUACACCAAAAUGCACAGGCUGUGAACUCGAAGAGUAGGGCGGGACACGUGGUAUCCUGUCUGAAUAUGGGGGGACCAUCCUCCAAGGCUAAAUACUCCUGACUGACCGAUAGUGAACCAGUACCGUGAGGGAAAGGCGAAAAGAACCCCGGCGAGGGGAGUGAAAAAGAACCUGAAACCGUGUACGUACAAGCAGUGGGAGCACCUUCGGGUGUGACUGCGUACCUUUUGUAUAAUGGGUCAGCGACUUAUAUUCUGUAGCAAGGUUAACCGUAUAGGGGAGCCGCAGGGAAACCGAGUCUUAACUGGGCGUUAAGUUGCAGGGUAUAGACCCGAAACCCGGUGAUCUAGCCAUGGGCAGGUUGAAGGUUGGGUAACACUAACUGGAGGACCGAACCGACUAAUGUUGAAAAAUUAGCGGAUGACUUGUGGCUGGGGGUGAAAGGCCAAUCAAACCGGGAGAUAGCUGGUUCUCCCCGAAAGCUAUUUAGGUAGCGCCUCGUGAACUCAUCUUCGGGGGUAGAGCACUGUUUCGGCUAGGGGGUCAUCCCGACUUACCAACCCGAUGCAAACUACGAAUACCGAAGAAUGUUAUCACGGGAGACACACGGCGGGUGCUAACGUCCGUCGUGAAGAGGGAAACAACCCAGACCGCCAGCUAAGGUCCCAAAGUCAUGGUUAAGUGGGAAACGAUGUGGGAAGGCACAGACAGCCAGGAUGUUGGCUUAGAAGCAGCCAUCAUUUAAAGAAAGCGUAAUAGCUCACUGGUCGAGUCGGCCUGCGCGGAAGAUGUAACGGGGCUAAACCAUGCACCGAAGCUGCGGCAGCGACACUAUGUGUUGUUGGGUAGGGGAGCGUUCUGUAAGCCUGCGAAGGUGUGCUGUGAGGCAUGCUGGAGGUAUCAGAAGUGCGAAUGCUGACAUAAGUAACGAUAAAGCGGGUGAAAAGCCCGCUCGCCGGAAGACCAAGGGUUCCUGUCCAACGUUAAUCGGGGCAGGGUGAGUCGACCCCUAAGGCGAGGCCGAAAGGCGUAGUCGAUGGGAAACAGGUUAAUAUUCCUGUACUUGGUGUUACUGCGAAGGGGGGACGGAGAAGGCUAUGUUAGCCGGGCGACGGUUGUCCCGGUUUAAGCAUGUAGGCUGGUUGUCCAGGCAAAUCCGGAUAAUCAAGGCUGAGGUGUGAUGACGAGGCACUACGGUGCUGAAGUAACAAAUGCCCUGCUUCCAGGAAAAGCCUCUAAGCAUCAGGUAACAUCAAAUCGUACCCCAAACCGACACAGGUGGUCAGGUAGAGAAUACCAAGGCGCUUGAGAGAACUCGGGUGAAGGAACUAGGCAAAAUGGUGCCGUAACUUCGGGAGAAGGCACGCUGGUGUGUAGGUGAAGUCCCUGCGGAUGGAGCUGAGACCAGUCGAAGAUACCAGCUGGCUGCAACUGUUUAUUAAAAACACAGCACUGUGCAAACACGAAAGUGGACGUAUACGGUGUGACGCCUGCCCGGUGCCGGAAGGUUAAUUGAUGGGGUUAUCCGUAAGGAGAAGCUCUUGAUCGAAGCCCCGGUAAACGGCGGCCGUAACUAUAACGGUCCUAAGGUAGCGAAAUUCCUUGUCGGGUAAGUUCCGACCUGCACGAAUGGCGUAAUGAUGGCCAGGCUGUCUCCACCCGAGACUCAGUGAAAUUGAACUCGCUGUGAAGAUGCAGUGUACCCGCGGCAAGACGGAAAGACCCCGUGAACCUUUACUAUAGCUUGACACUGAACAUUGAGCCUUGAUGUGUAGGAUAGGUGGGAGGCUUUGAAGCGUGGACGCCAGUCUGCGUGGAGCCAACCUUGAAAUACCACCCUUUAAUGUUUGAUGUUCUAACGUUGGCCCCUUAUCGGGGUUGCGGACAGUGUCUGGUGGGUAGUUUGACUGGGGCGGUCUCCUCCCAAAGCGUAACGGAGGAGCACGAAGGUUAGCUAAUCCUGGUCGGACAUCAGGAGGUUAGUGCAAUGGCAUAAGCUAGCUUGACUGCGAGCGUGACGGCGCGAGCAGGUGCGAAAGCAGGUCAUAGUGAUCCGGUGGUUCUGAAUGGAAGGGCCAUCGCUCAACGGAUAAAAGGUACUCCGGGGAUAACAGGCUGAUACCGCCCAAGAGUUCAUAUCGACGGCGGUGUUUGGCACCUCGAUGUCGGCUCAUCACAUCCUGGGGCUGAAGUAGGUCCCAAGGGUAUGGCUGUUCGCCAUUUAAAGUGGUACGCGAGCUGGGUUUAGAACGUCGUGAGACAGUUCGGUCCCUAUCUGCCGUGGGCGCUGGAGAAUUGAGGGGGGCUGCUCCUAGUACGAGAGGACCGGAGUGGACGCAUCACUGGUGUUCGGGUUGUCAUGCCAAUGGCACUGCCCGGUAGCUAAAUGCGGAAGAGAUAAGUGCUGAAAGCAUCUAAGCACGAAACUUGCCCCGAGAUGAGUUCUCCCUGAGACUUUAAGUCUCCUGAAGGAACGUUGAAGACGACGACGUUGAUAGGCCGGGUGUGUAAGCGCAGCGAUGCGUUGAGCUAACCGGUACUAAUGAACCGUGAGGCUUAACCU